GAUGAACGCUGGCGGCGUGCCUAAUACAUGCGAGUCGAACGCUGGAGAUCUAGCUUGCUAGCUCGAAGGAGUGGCGAACGGGUGAGUAAUACAUAAGCAACCUACCCACGAAGACUGGGAUAAUCUCUGGAAACGGGGACUAAUACCGGAUAGGUAAUCGGAAGGCAUCUUCUGGUUAUUAAAGGUUAAAAACACUGGUGGAUGGGCUUAUGGCGCAUUAGUUAGUUGGUGAGGUAACGGCCCACCAAGACGAUGAUGCGUAGCCGGCCUGAGAGGGUGAACGGCCACAUUGGGACUGAGACACGGCCCAGACUCCUACGGGAGGCAGCAGUAGGGAAUUUUCGGCAAUGGGGGCAACCCUGACCGAGCAACGCCGCGUGAGUGAAGACGGCCUUCGGGUUGUAAAGCUCUGUUGUAAGGGAAGAACGGUAGAUAGAGAAUAUCUAAGUGACGGUACCUUACCAGAAAGCCACGGCUAACUACGUG
rnacentral:rRNA from 1 species